AACCUUGCUUUUUUGAAUGCUUACUAGGCAGUUAAGUUACUUAUUUCUUCCCCCAAAUUAUCCAGCGUUUAUUUAGUACACAUUUGUUGAGUACCUACUGUGCCUGGCACUAUGCUAGUGGGCCUUGGGUAUACAUCAGGGAAUAAAGACAUAACCCUUCCUUUCAUGGAGUGACACUUAAUAGAGCUUAAAUUAAUUAGAUUUUAUAGUAUAUAUUUGGUUCAGGAGGAUGCAUGUCAUAAAUAUGAUUCUUGUUAUUCUGAUUGAAUAUAAAAAUUCUUUACAGUACUUACAGAUCAUCAGUAUUUGGAGAGGACACCACUAUGUGCCAUUUUGAAACAAAAAGCUCCUCAACAAUACCGCAUCCGAGCAAAAUUGAGGUCAUAUAAGCCCAGAAGACUAUUUCAGUCUGUUAAACUUCAUUGCCCUAAAUGUCAUUUGCUGCAAGAAGUUCCACAUGAGGGCGAUUUGGAUAUAAUUUUUCAGGAUGGUGCAACUAAAACCCCAGAUGUCAAGCUACAAAAUACAUCAUUAUAUGAUUCAAAAAUCUGGACCACUAAAAAUCAAAAAGGACGAAAAGUAGCAGUUCAUUUUGUGAAAAAUAAUGGUAUUCUCCCGCUUUCAAAUGAAUGUCUACUUUU
rnacentral:lncRNA from 10 species